GACGAACGCUGGCGGCGUGCCUAAUACAUGCAAGUUGAGCGAUGAAGAUUGGUGCUUGCACCAAUUUGAAGAGCAGCGAACGGGUGAGUAACGCGUGGGGAAUCUGCCUUUGAGCGGGGGACAACAUUUGGAAACGAAUGCUAAUACCGCAUAAUAACUUUAAACAUAAGUUUUAAGUUUGAAAGAUGCAAUUGCAUCACUCAAAGAUGAUCCCGCGUUGUAUUAGCUAGUUGGUGAGGUAAAGGCUCACCAAGGCGAUGAUACAUAGCCGACCUGAGAGGGUGAUCGGCCACAUUGGGACUGAGACACGGCCCAAACUCCUACGGGAGGCAGCAGUAGGGAAUCUUCGGCAAUGGACGAAAGUCUGACCGAGCAACGCCGCGGGAGUGAAGAAGGGUUUCGGAUCGUAAAACUCUGUUGGUAGAGAAGAACGUUGGCGAGAGUGGAAAGCUCAUCAAGUGACGGUAACUACCCAGAAAGGGACGGCUAACUACGUG
rnacentral:rRNA from 1 species